rnacentral:rRNA from 1 species
AACGAACGCUGGCGGCAGGCUUAACACAUGCAAGUCGAACGGACCGCAAGGGGUUUGGCCGGCGGGUGAGUAACGCGUGGGAACAUACCCUUUUCUACGUAAUAGCUCGGGGAAGAUGGCAUUAAUACAGUAUCGGUCCUACGGGGGAAAGGUUUAGCGGGGAAGGAUGGGACCGUGUUGGAUUAGCUUGUUGGUGGGGUAAAGGCCUACCAAGGCGACGAUCGAUAGCUGGUCUGAGAGGAUGAUCAGCCACAUUGGGACUGAGACACGGCCCAAACUCCUACGGGAGGCAGCAGUGGGGAAUAUUGGACAAUGGGCGCAAGCCUGAUCCAGCCAUGCCGGGUAAGUGAUGAAGGCCUUAGGGUUGGAAAGCUCUUUCACCGAUGAAGAUAAUGACGGUAGUCGGAGAAGAAGCCCCGGCUAACUUCGUG